AUGCCUUCUUCGUAUAACUUCAUCCCCGUGAACAAACAAGCGAAUCUGCCAUCUACAACUUCUGAUCAGCCUUCGGCACCACGCACUCCUCAUCACUCUGUCUUCAUGUCGAUUUCUUCGAGAAUCUAUGCUCUCUCUACUCAACCUUCGUUUACGCUCCGAGCGUCACCGUCCAAUUUGCUUCGCUAUCAUUCUGUUGCGAUUUCUCCCCUCCGAUUUGAACUCACCUCCAUCCGUUUGUUUUCAUGA